UGGGUGUGGUGGCGGGCGCCUGUAAUCCUAGUUACUUGGGAGGCUGAGGCAGGAGAAUGGCUUGAACCCAGGAGGCAGAGGUUGCAGUGAGCCGAGAUUGUGCCACUGCAUUGCAGCCUAGGUGACAAGAGCGAGACUGUCUCACAAAAAAACAAAAACAAAACAAACAAACAAAAAAAAGUGAAUUACAUUCCUAUAUACCAACAAUAAACAAUUGGAACUUGAAGUUAAAAAUAAAAUACAUUUAUACAAUAUUAGCACACCUCAAAAUGAAAUACUUAGGUAUAAAUCUAACAACAUGUAUAAAGAUAUACAGAAGGAAAACUACGAAACUCCAACUAAAUAAAUAGAGAGAUAUUUUACAUUCACGGAUAGGUGGACUCGAUAUUGUAAGAUGUCAGUUCUUCCCAACAAUAUCGAAGGAAAACAAAGUCAGAGGACUGACUGCCCAGUUUCAAGGCUCAGCAUAAAGCUACAGUAAUAGAGACAGUGUGGCAUUGGCAAAAGAAUAGAAGAAUAGACAAAUAGAUCAAUGAAACAGAAUAGACAGCCCAGAAAUAGAUCUUCACGGAUCACUUGAGCCCCAGAGAUCCGGGCUGUAGUGCACUAUGCCAAUUGGGUGUCCACACUAAGUUCAGCAUCAAUAUGGUGACCUCCAGGUUGCCUAAGGAGGGGUGAACUGGCUGAAGUCAGAAAACACAAGUCAAAACUCCUGUGCUGAUGAGUAGUGGAAUCGCACCUGUGAAGAGCCACUACGCUCCAGUCUGGCUGGAGCCUGUCUUCUUAAAAAAAAAAAAAAAAAAGGAAUAGACCCUCAUAAAUAUUGUCAACUCAUCUUUUGACAAAGGACCAACGGCAAUACAAAGAAAAUACAGUCUUUUCAACAAAUCGUGCUGGAACAAUUGGACAUCCACAUGUUAAAAAAAAUGAUUCUAGGCACACUCUUUACAUCCUUCACAAAAAAUUAACACAAAAUAGAUUACAGACCUAAAUGUAAAAUGCAAAACUAUAAAACUCCUGGAAGAUAACAUAGGAGAAAAUCUAGAUGGUCCUGAGUUUAGUGAUAACUUUUUAGACACCAAAGGCACAACCCAUGAAAGAAAGAAUUGAAAAGGUGGACUUCGUUCGAUUAGAAAUUUCUGCUUUGUAAAAGACAUCAAGAAAAUGAGGGGGAAAAAUCCACAGACAGAGAAAACAAUAUUUACAAAAGACACAUCUGAUAGAGGACUGUUUUCCAAAACAUACAAAUAACCUUUAAAGCUCAACAAUAAGAAAACAGCCCAAUUAAAGAAUGGGCAAACGACCUGAAUGGACACCUCACCAAAGAAGAUAUACAGAUGGCAAAUAAGCAUAUGAAAAGAUGUUCAAUAUCAUGCAUCAUUAGAGAAUUGCAAAUUUUAAAAAAGGGACACCACCACCCACCUAUAAGAACGACAACCAUUAGAAACACCGACACCAGGAAACCGUGGUGAGGCUGUGGAGCAACAAGAACUGUCCCUAAUUACUGGCAAUAAUAUGAAACGGUACAGCCACUUUGUAAGACAAUACGGCACUUUUUUACACAGCUAAAUAUAAUUUUACCCUACCAUCCAGGAAUAGCAUUUCUUGAAUUCAAAUGAGUUGAAAACUUAUGUUCACACAAAAACCUGCACAUGAAUGUUUAGAGCAACCUUAUUCAUAAUUGCCAAAACUUGGAAGCAACCAGGAUGUCCCUCGAUAGGUGAAUGGACAAAUAAACGGUGGUAUAUCAAGACAAUGCAAUGCUAUUAUUCAGUGAUAAAAAUAAGUGAGCUAUUAAGUCACAAAAAGAUAUGAUGGAACUUUUGAUGAAU
rnacentral:lncRNA from 10 species